ACUGCCCGUGCCCCACCCCCGCAGCUCCUCCAGCUGCAAGUGUCUGAGCCGAGUCCCGGGUGCACGUCCCACGGCUCAGGGAAGCGCACCGCGCGCGGGGACCGGCUCCGUUCCUUUCCCUGCGGUAAGAGCCUCGCCUCGGCCCCCCAAGCGACCCGCGGCUGACAGAGCCCAACUCUUCGCGGCGGCAGUGGGCGCCUCCGGAGAAGCCCCGGGCCGACCGCGGCCUCAGGCGGGGCGCGGGGCCUGGGCGGGCGAGCCACGCAGGUUCCCGGGAGAGAUCACCUGAAAAGGAUCAUCUAUGACCCCAAUGAAGAGGCUAGAAUCUGUACAGAAUAUUCCAGGCUAGUUGUUGGGUUAACUGCCUAAGAAACCACAGUUAAGGACGGUGCGCCUGCCUAACCUAGCAAGCUACUUCGGAGAUCACUUUAAAUUUACAUCUCUUAACCUCUUUACAUCUCAACUUCUUAAUUUGUAAAUGGGAAUACUAUUUGUCUUGCCCGUCUCUCUGGGAUGCUGAAGUUUAAAUUAGACAAAUGUAUCUAAACAGCUUAGCCGAAAUUUCUUUUAGAAAAAAAGCACUUUAAGAAUUCUAAAGUGAGGGGGGUUGGGAUCAUUCUGUUAGGAGAACCACUGACUGAAACCGCCUGCCCCGGCCAGGUACCAUAGUAACCACUUGCGAGAGGUAUCUUAAGCAGGAGGUCCUGGUAAGGAAUGCGGAACUAACAAGCUACCACCAACCGGAAGAAUUGGGGAAAGGUCAAAAGGAGAGAGGAGACUCCAGUCCAUGUGUUGUACCAACCUCCCAGAAUCCUUCUCGCUAGAAUCCAUCUUGGCUGAGUGAUGCGUGUGCCACCAGGAAGGAUCCUGAGUCACAGUGAUUCGCCAGAGACAACCCAGAAAUCAACCCAAUUACCAUAAAACCCGAGACUGCGAGCCACGUGGCAGAGCAGUUCUCCUGUGUUCCCUUACCCUGCUGCUCUCCGCCCCGCCGCCCCUUCCCAAUAAAGCCUCUUGCUUUGUCAGCA